ACGGAAGGCAGCAGUAGGGAAUAUUGCACAAUGGGGGAAACCCUGAUGCAGCAACGCCACGUGCGGGAAGAAGCAUUUCGGUGUGUAAACCACUGUCGUGAAGGAAUAAUGCUGGACCUCGGUCCAGUUGAAUGUACUUUGAAAGGAAGCACCGGCAAACUUCGUGCCAGCAGCCGCGGUAAUACGAGGGGUGCAAGCGUUGUUCGGAAUCACUGGGCGUAAAGGGAGCGCAGGCGGAGAUGCAAGCGGACUGUACAAUACCGGGGCCCAACCCCGGACCUGCAGUCCGGACUGCACCUCUUGGAUAGUUCAGGGGCAAGCGGAAUUCCUGGUGUAGCGGUGGAAUGCGUAGAGAUCAGGAAGAACACCGAUGGCGAAGGCAGCUUGCUGGGGACUUAUCGACGCUCAUGCUCGAAAGUGCGGGUAGCAAACAGGAUUAGAUACCCUGGUA
rnacentral:rRNA from 1 species